rnacentral:rRNA from 1 species
CUAAACGGGAUGCCCUUAGUAAUGGCGAAUGAACAGGGUCGAGCUCAGCAUGGAAAUCGGGGCCAGCGCCUUGACUUGUAGUCUCAACAUGUGUUGCCAACGGAGGCGCAGAUGCAAGCCUCUUGGAAAAGAGUGCCAUCGAAGGUGAGAGCCCUGUUGAUCAUCUGCAGACCACUAUGUACGGCGCGCAUUCACAGAGUCACGUUCCUUGGGAUUGGAGCGCAAAGUGGGUGGUAAAUUCCAUCUCAAGCUGAAUAUGGGUGUGAGACCGAUAGUAAAUAAGUACCAUGAGGGAAAAGUGAAAAGGACUUUGAAAAGAGAGUUAAAAGUGCCUGAAAUCGCUGAAAGGGAAGCGAAUGGAAUCAGUCCUCGCGGUUGGAUUGUUGCGCACCGUUGUGAUUCCUCAAGGCCCAGCGCAAGCGGUGUCUUGAAGGUUGAACAUCUUGGUGCGUGAUGGUUCCUACCUCGUGUGUCAUAUUCGAUUAUUGGCCCGAGACAUCUGCAAAAGGAUGGUCGUCCGCCUUGGGGUGAAUGAACACUUUUGCGAGAAUCCGACCAAUGAUUGAUUGGAGUGUGUCUGGUAAUGGUGAGGCGAACGCGUUGUCGUCCUGCGCAAUUCCCGACACAACACUGAUGACCACAUGGUUCUCUUCGACCCGUCUUGAAACACGGACCAAGGAGUCUAACACAUGUGCAAGUAUGUUGGUUGUAAACCGAUUUGCGUAACGAAAGUGACUGCUGAGAUCAUUGCACCAGCAACCGACCAAUCGCUUGAGAAAGGUUUGAGUGUGAGCAUUUGUGUUAGGACCCGAAAGAUGGUGAACUAUGCCUGUGAAGGGUGAACCCAGGGGAAACUCUGGUGGAGGCUCGUAGCGAUACUGACGUGCAAAUCGUUCGUCAUACAUGGGUAUA